rnacentral:lncRNA from 10 species
UUUUACAUUCCCACCAACAGAGGAUGAGCGGUCUGGGUUGUCUGGAUCCUGAGCAGCAUAUGUUAAAAUCAAGAUUCUUUAUUUACCCAUUCUGAUAGGUGAGUAGUGAGAUAUCAUUGUGUUUUUGUAAUUUUGUAACACAGCAGAAAUUUAUUGCCCACAGUAGCUCAGAAGACUAGAAGUCCCAAAUUGAUGUCAGCAGCGCCAUGCUCUCUCUGAAGGCUCAGGGUGAAGGAAUCCUCCAUGCCUCUCGCCUGGCCUCUGGUGGUUGCCAGAUGGCCGUCCUUGGCAUUUCUUGUCUUCGAGAUGGAUCUUACUCCGGUCUCUGCCUCUGCCUUUACACAGCCUUCUCUUCUGCAUGUUAUCUCCUAGUGGCUGCUCGCAUCCUGUGGUUGGUGGUCAUCUUCCUCCAUCUUCAAAAAUGACGUUCUGCCUCGUGUUUCCACCGAAACCAUCGUGUGCCCAUAGUAACCAGCAGACACCAUGCAUGUGUGAUCUCCUUUAUGACCUGCGCCUAAUUAGCUUUUUAUUGUCAUCUUCCAACUCCCGCUUAAACUGUACAAACGGGCAGCAUGACUCCCGAUACCGAUUAAUAAGCUUCUAGCCCUGGUCCUGCAAUAAAGAGGAUGUAUUUACAGCAUGA